rnacentral:piRNA from 1 species
UGCUUACACAUGUAUUUCCAGUCAUGGAUA